GGCUCAGGAUGAACGCUGGCGGCGUGCCUAAUACAUGCAAGUCGAGCGAGAAUCAGAUGAACUGAGAUUCGUCAAUGGAAUUCUGAGGAAAGCGGCGGACGGGUGAGUAACGCGUAGGCGACCUGCCCUUAGCAGAGGGAUAGCCAUUGGAAACGAUGAUUAAAACCUCAUAAUGCUGUUGAAACACAUGUCUUGACAGCCAAAGAUUUAUCGGCUAAGGAUGGGCCUGCGUCUGAUUAACUAGUUGGUGAGGUAACGGCUCACCAAGGUGACGAUCAGUAGCCGACCUGAGAGGGUGAUCGGCCACAUUGGAACUGAGACACGGUCCAAACUUCUACGGAAGGCAGCAGUAAGGAAUCUUGCACAAUGGGGGAAACCCUGAAUGCAGCAACGCCGCGUGAACGAUGAAGGCCUUAGGGUUGUAAAGUUCUGAUCUGUGGGAAGAAGAAGUGACGGUACCACAGGAGAAAGCCCCGGCUAAAUACGUGCCAGCCGCGGC
rnacentral:rRNA from 1 species